rnacentral:lncRNA from 1 species
CUCAGACUAUAGUCAUAAAGUAGGACAAUAAAAGAACAAAAGACAAACCGAGACACAGAAGUACAAACAAUAGACCAUCAACUCCGAAAACCAAAAGUAAAAUAGAAACAUAGAUCACGAAAAAAAUGCAUGGGCGACAUCAGUCCAGUGAAGAGAACAUGCUUCUUGCAAGACACUUUCCGUGAAAACAAAUUUGAUUAAAGAC